rnacentral:rRNA from 1 species
GCAUGUAGGGGUCAGUGGAACGAUGUGUGGAGCGGUGAAAUGUGUAGAUAUACAUCGGAACGCCAAUGGCGAAGGCAGCUGACUGGGCAUGUCCUGACGCUCAGGUACGAAAGCGUGGGUAACGAACGGGAUUAGAUACCCCGGUAGUCCACGCCGUGAACGAUGCGCACUAGGUCGUGGUGCCUCUCAUGGCUUCACGGCUGGAGGUAAACUGUUUAGUGCGCCGCCUGGGGAGUACGGUCGCAAGGGCUAAAACUCAAAGGAAUUGACGGGGGCUCACACAAGCGGUGGAGCAUGUUGCUUAAUUCGAGGCAACGCGAAGAACCUUACCUGGGCUUGACAUGCACGGAUUAACCUUUCGAAAGAUUGGCCACGCCCUUCGGGUGGAACGUGCACAGGUGCUGCAUGGCUGUCGUCAGCUCGUGCUGUGAAGUGUUGGGUUAAGUCCCUUAACGAGCGCAACCCCUAUCGUUAGUUACUCACGCGUUAUGGCGAGGACUCUAGCGAGACUGCCGGUGUCAAACCGGAGGAAGGCGGGGAUGACGUCAAGUCAUCAUGGCCCUUACGCCCAGGGAUGCAAACGUGCUACAAUGGCGUGGACAGA